AUUAAACUGAAACCACAUAUUUAUUUUUAUUUGGCACAAGAGGAAAAAAAUAAUUCUGUAACUAUAAAUGAAUAAAGAAGACAUAAACUGAAACAACUGUUUUUGUGGUUAUAGUUUAAUUGUAUUCUCAGUUAUGAAUUGACCAAUAUAAACUAAAACAUAUAAAGGAAAUAGAGCAUCAACACGACGCGACAAACGACA
rnacentral:lncRNA from 1 species